rnacentral:lncRNA from 1 species
UGAUUCUUGAAGUUUACGAAUUUUGUAGAUAAAUUGUAGUUGAUAUUAUUUACAGUUUAUAUUUGUAGUUAUUUUGUAGUCAUGUGGAUUAGCUGUGUUAAUUAUGUGUAUAAAUUGUAGUUGCUAUUAUCUGCAACUUUAUAAAUGUAGUUAUUUUGUUUUGUGCAAAAUUGACAUUAUUUUGCACCACAUAAGUGAGGUUACAUGCAGGCUAGCAAGGAGGAAGGGUGCUUCCUCUUUGAAUGAGAAGACUGGAAUGCAUAAAAAGAAGAAAUAGUCAAUUGUUUUCCUAAUUUAGUUGCGGCAAAUUUGUAGUUGAAGAAUAAGGAUCUUCUUUUUUGGAAAAAAUCUAC